rnacentral:rRNA from 1 species
CCUACGGGAGGCAGCAGUAGGGAAUCUUCCACAAUGGGCGCAAGCCUGAUGGAGCAACACCGCGUGAGUGAAGAAGGGUUUCGGCUCGUAAAGCUCUGUUGUUGGAGAAGAACGUGCGUGAGAGUAACUGUUCACGCAGUGACGGGAUCCAACCAGAAAGUCACGGCUAACUACGUGCCAGCAGCCGCGGUAAUACGUAGGGGGCAAGCGUUGUCCGGAUUUAUUGGGUUUAAAAGGUGCGCAGGCGG